GAUCACAUCAAUAAUGGCUUUACAGUAUGUUUUUCACAGCAUGGAAAUAACACUGUCUCCUGCUGUGGAAAGUGACGUCAGCCGAGCAACACUAAAAUCGGGAAAUUAUUUGCAUUAGGAGCUGAGUGAGCACAUCUGGUUAUUCUUAUUCCUGUCAUGACGGCGGCUGUAGAUAACGAUUACUUAUAUUAGUUUACUAAAGAUAGUUCUAUCUUAAGUCGUGACCAUAUUGCCUAGGUACUGUAUGAACUGAAUAAUUGAUUAAUGAAAUAAUUGACAUACUUGUCCGCGGUACCUACAAUCUACAUGUUUGAUUUCAAACAUAUCAAGCAGUCUACAUUUAAAUCAAUCCUAAUUUAAACAAAAAAAGAAAAGAUACAAGCAAAGUACACUUAGUCGGGUUUACACUACGUCGCUAGUAUACCGUCUACCUGGGUUCCACUAGACCGCAGUGCAGAUCUGAAAUGGAAUCUGAAAGAGAGCCUGUCCAAGAAUCCAAUUUUUUUAGUGCCCCCAAGGUAAAUAAUAAUUGGGCUUUUAAUCUCUGUUCAAGAAAAAAAUUCUGGUGUUCUGAAAUGAAAAUGUUGUUUUGAAGAAACGCCAAAUUGGAUACGGGUCGUGACUGCCCAAUCAACAUUCUGGUGGUGAUGGCCUUUAAGUUGCUCGAAAGACAAAAAAAAAAUAAAAUAUAAAUUUAUAUAGUUAAAAAUUAUUGUUCCUCUGAAUAUAAAAC